GUUGUCAGUCUGAGGCAUGUCAGUGACAGCAUGUGGGAGGUCAAGUACUGUGCACUUGAUGCCGGGGAAUGCUUCAGAUAUGAUUCUCGCGAAUGCACCCGUUCCACCUCCUACGUCAACCAUGGAGCGCAACCCUUGAAAGAUUGGCCUGCAGUCUUUGACAAGCAAGGUUGCCAUUACAGAAUCACUUUCAAUUACUUGGUUGAACUGCUGGCUUAAUCCAGGGUUCUGGUUCAGAUAGUCCCAAAACUUCAACCCGCGUACAGUUUCCCAUAACGUGAGAUCGUUCGCUUUGAACCAACUACUUAAAUACUGGAAUGAAGAGACAAAAUCUUGGUCAAGCAAUCCAGUAACAAGUGGUGACAAACAGUAAGAAUUAUCUUUGAUGAGCAGGGUAGAAGUAGGCGUGAGGCCAUAGGCUUCUUCUUGUUCGUUGUGGUUGACAACUUUGGCUUUUGAAAACAAGCCCACGUGAACAAACAGACGCAUGAAAUGGAAUAGACUACGAGUUUUUGUAGGCUGAAUGUUAAGAGCUGAGGCCAACUCAGAAAGAGUGAUCGGUCGUCCGUGGCUGUGAAUUACGUCCGCUAUGCCUAGCUCAACCGCACAUUUGAGUGACAUGGAACUUAAAAUUUUAAUGACACCCUUUUUCAGAUGAACUUGACCUUCAAACAUCUCUCUUAGAGUGACCCCUUGAUUUUCAAUGUCACCCAUAACUUCAAUUGUUUUCGUCUACACUUUACCCCUAACUUCUCUCAGGACUAAGCCUACCAGUUUCCUUAUGGUCUACCAUAUGUGUAUGUGUAUAUAUAGAUUCACUUGAAAUUUUCGAUUUCUGCGGCCAAUUCGCAAUGCGAGUUUGAAAAGUCAAACUAGUUAAACAUAUAAUAAUUAAUAGCGGUAUACUGUAUAUCGGCAAUGCGGAUCAACAUAGUAAUCCAUAUAAUAACAAUAUGUAUUCGUAAUGAGAGUUACUAGAAGUUGUAACAAUGUAAGAAAAUUGAUCUCAAGGCGCUAUUGAGGUUGUGUAGCUUAAAACUGAUGGUUAUUGAUUAAAAAAUUUUAUAUUUAUAAAUAAUAUGUAAUAUAUAUGAUUUAUAAAUAAUAAUCUUAUGAAAAUACUAAAGAUAUUAUAGAUUUUUUAUUAUAUAAGUGGUGAAUUAAAUUAAUAUAAAUUUGAAGUCAUAUCAAUUAGUAUUUACUAAAUAUUUUAGUGCUGUAAUUUAAAAAUUACAACUAAUGUCAGGUAAGGCCCAAGUAAAAAAUAUUGCAUCUCACGAAAGGAACAUGAGAUAAAUAAGGAAAAUACUAAACCACACGUUAGGAAAAGCAAAAUGAAAAAUAUGAGAAAAAUACCAGUAAAUAGAGUCAAAAUUGUACUAUACACCCUCAAACAAGAUAAUUUAUUUUGUUCACCGAAAUGGGGUAUACUUAAACUUGUUUAUGGUUGCUCUUGUGGUGUUAAUAGCUUAUGCACGAAUUUUUUUUUUUUUUUUUAAUUCUUGAAUGACAAGAGUACUUGCAUUCUAAAAUAUACUCUUAAAAUAUACUCUAACACCAUAUUUUAAUAUAAUUUUAUAUUAUAAAAUAAUCUUACUGAAAAUAAUUAUUAUUUAAGACAAUUUUUUUUUAAUAAAGUACUGUUUACUUUUAACACUCGCGGGAUCUACCGUUUCUUCUUGAACAUCAUUUUCUUACUCACUUGAAACAAUUAAUCUAUGCCAAAAUGAGUCCAUGCCACAAUUGGUCGUUUUUAUUGAUUUUCUUCUAUUUGCUCUUUCUAUUUCAUGAAUUUGUAAUAGAUUAUUUUAGAAGAAAAUGCUAAUGUGACUAGGGGGAUUUGAUUAUAUUAAGGACUAUUUUUGGGAUUAGUGAAAGUAUGUUUAAAAACUUCUUCAAAAUGGUGAGCCAAUAACAGUGUGUUCACAAUAUAUUUUAAGAUGCAAAUAAUUUUCCUAUGCUUAAAAUAUUUUAGGUAAUUAUGUCCAUUGAUCUUGAUAUUUGAAAAGUCAUAAAAGGGAUAAAAAAAAUUGCUUGGCUCAAUAGCUCAUAAGAGUGGGCAUGAGUUGACCAGUUGGAUAGAGUUUGUGAAAAUCCAACUCAACUGUUGAAUAGGUUGAGAUAAAAUCAAUCUAACCCAACUAAUAAAUAUAUUUAACUCAAUCCAAUCUAACCCUUAAAUCGUAAGGUUGGGUUCGGUUGGGCUGGUUUGAUCGGGUUCUGAGCCAUAUUAAAAUUAAAAGCUAAAUAAAGAAAAAGACAUGAAAUUUGAAAUGGAACUUCUUAAAAUUAAACAUAAAUCUAUCAUGACAUGAAAAUUUAUUCACUAUUUAGUGUUCGAUAAAGAAAGCUAAAAGACCAACUAUCUUAUUAAAAUCAAAUUAAAAAAAUUUCAACAAUGAGCGUCGAGACUUUAUUCUCGUUUCCCGCGUCUUUAUUUCAAAUUUCAAAUCCAGACCUUUUAGAUAAUUAGUUAGCAUUGUAUCCCAUAACAAACUGAAGUGAUAUAUAAUUAUGUACCAUUAAGUAUUUACUAAAAAAUAACUAUAAACUGAAACUAACUUACUUUCAAAAUUAAACUUAUAAGAUAAUAUAUUUACUUAUAUGAGAGCGUGAUUUUAAUUUUGCAAUUAUAAAAUAGAGUAGUAUAUAUGAGAAUGAAAUUGUCUCUCUUAUAUAAUAAUAAAAAGAGUUAAAAAUUAGAUUAACCGUUUAGGUCUUUGGUACCAUAUUUUUAUUAUUAUUUAUGUGAAUUGGGUUGAGUUAGGUGGGUUCAUCAUUAUUGAUCUAACCCUAACUCAAUUAUUAAUUGGGUUUAAAAAAAUUAAUCCAAUUAACCCACAAUAAUCAUUUUUCUUAAUUAGUUUAAAUUCUGUUUCGGAUGCCUAAAAGUUCGACUUUUCAAUAAGAAUCGAAAGAGUAAAUUAAAAAGAAACACCUGCCAUUCUUCAAUUUCUUAAUAGCAACCACCUCUGUACAAUAUCCCAAAACCACCUUCACCCAACAAAAUAUCAGGCUUGAAGUUCUUGGUUGCAGACUUCAAAUCCAAAAAAUUGAACACCUUGAGAUUUCGUAUCUCCAAAAUCUGUCCAUUUGAACGUGCCUCAACACCAACUUCACUGAUAGCUUCUGAGAAUUGACUUUUGCCCGCAAAGCUGCUAGUUGCUAAGAUCUCCAUAGUACGCCCAUAAUUAUUACUUAUUAUAAUUAUUUGUCCCUAAGCAAUUCGGAAAUCGACGAUCUAAUAUAAGCAAAAGAUUAACAUGAAAUAAAUGAAAGUCAAAUGAAUCCAAAAAAAAAAAAGUGCUUGCAGGGCUAGAUGAAGCAUCAUUAUUAAUGUUAUAUAUUAAGGGGGAAAAGAAAAAAAGAAAAAGAAAGUACCACAAACAAGAGGGAAUCCAAAAUCUUGUGAUUCACUCCCGUACCAAAAGUUGAAAAUCACCUAGCUAAUCUGGUGGCGUCGAACAUAAAUAACAUGAUAGCGGAUGGGAGACGCAGGGUCCUCAACUUUUAAUUGCAACAAGAAACUGAGGAUAACAAAUGUAACAGGAAAUAUUAGCUUUAGUCAAAAGACCAUGCUGUAAAACCUUCGUCGUGUAAGCGCUAAAACUUUUCAGCCUUUCACUUUGUGCUGAACCGAUAGUUUGGAGCAAGAAACACUGGAUUAGCAUGACUGGAAGAUUUAGGAUAGUAAUUUAAGUAAUAACCCGUUUCAAAAAAUAAAUUAUGUAAAUGCAUCUCUAAGAGAAUUAUGGAAACAUCAACUCAUUAUAUAAUUCAAUAGAUUAUUACCUACAAGUAGCAGCAGGGCUUCCUUGAAAUAAAACUCCAAUAGAAAUUGCAAAGCAAGGGUAGUUUUUGUUAAAGUCAGCACCGAAUUGGUGCUUGACUUUGACAUUUCAAGCACCAAAUUCGGUGCUUAGCUGGUGGUGAAAAAUUGCUAAAUUUUUUGCCAUAAUUGUUAGCUGUAAUGCUUGAAUUUUUGAGCUGUAAUUGCUGACUUUUGGCCAUUAUCUUUCCUAGAGUGCUGAGAGAGAGCUAAAUUAUCCCAAUUUUGAGAAGCAUUUAUUGUAUUUAGAGAGAGAGUUUAAAGAGAUUGAAAUUAUAAAGUUCUUUAGUGAUUAAGUGAUUUGAAAGAUUGGGUGUAUUGGGGUUGUGAAUCAAAAUAUUACAAUAUUUGUAACACUCAUUUCACAAGUAAAAUAUUUUUCUUCUAUUUUCGCAUGUAGAUGUAGGUUAAAAACUUAACCACGUAAAUUUCUGGUAUCCUUGUGGGAUUUUGUUGUCUCAUUAUUUCUCAAUUUCACUUUAAUUACGCGUUUGCUUCACCAAUCAAGUUUCUAUCAGAUUUGGAUUGUAUUCAUUUUCUAUCGGCAUUCCAUCAAACAAUUUGAAGUCUCUACUUCGAAAAAUUUCAUCAGACAUUAGCAAUUAGGUACCAAUGUACAGGAUCCAAACUUAUGCAUCAGCAGGUCACUCAAAAAUAAAUAAAUAAAAAUAAAACUAGAAUUGAACGAUGAAAUGACAUAAAUACUUGACAUCCAAUCUGAAUUCCACAAACUCAAGCAAAUAUAGAACGAAACUACUGAUAUAGGGCAUAAGUUUCAGCAAACCAGAUCGAAGAAGCUAGAGAAAUUAAAAAAAUCCAAAAGUCGGAUUGAGUUCGAGUGACUCUUUUCUUUAAAACCAGAUUAACCCGAAAUAUGGUAGGUUAAUCUGAACCCGAUCCGAACCUGAUUUUGCCCACACCAUCUAAAAUCUUAGAUUUAUAAAUUUCUUCUUCUCAAUUACAUAAACUUGAGAAAGAUACUGAAUUUAUUAGCGAAAUCAAAACAUCAGAAGCAGAUAUUCGGAGCAAUAACAGAGUACAAAUCCUUUGUUCCUAAAUUUAUUUCGACGACUGCAUGAGCGUGUAGGAAAUUAUUUGCUGCCAAAUAUCGAACACUGGGGCGACUAAUCAAUUCUUUACGGAUAGACUUCAAUGAGGGACUUGAUACCAAAUAUCGGAGCUACUUUGUAGUGAGUGAAACCGGCAUUCACGAAAAGACUUUCCCAUUCUUGCUCAGUUCUCUCUUUUCCACCAACAUUAAAGUUCAUCAAAGUGUCAAACAAGAGCUUUGCUUCUGUUAAUUCACGGUCAUCUUCCUUUUCAUUGAUUACAAUAUCGACGAUUAAUACCUUUCCUCUCUCGCCAUUGCUUGCGAUAGCUUCUCUGCAUUUCUUCAAUAGCUUCAAGCAAUCCUCGUCAUCAAAUAAAUGAAAAACCGUCUGCAUGCCAAUCACCCAUUUAAUAAUUAAUACCCACCAUUACUUAAAAUUAUUUCACGCAUAUGCAUACACCAUCUUCCAAUGUAUAUAUAUAUAUAAUAUAAUGACUAUAUAUAUAUAUAUAUUCAAUGAGAGAUUUCUGUAGUUCAUUAAAGUGCGGGAACGUUAAAAAGUCGUUCCCACAUUUUCAUAAAGCACAAGAACCCUCUUUAGAAGGCGCUCGUGUGUGUGUUUCUUUUACCUUGAAGAAAAAGGCGUCUGCCGCAGGAAUAAACUGAAACAUAUCACCCACUACGUACUUCAAGUUGUCAGUCUGAGGCAUGUCAGUGACAGCAUGUGGGAGGUCAAGUACUGUGCACUUGAUGCCGGGGAAUGCUUCAGAUAUGAUUCUCGCGAAUGCACCCGUUCCACCUCCUACAUCAACCAGGGAGCGCAACCCUUGAAAGAUUGGCUUGCAGUCUUUGACAAUCAAGGUUGCCAUUUCAGAAUCGCUUUCCAUUGCUUGGUUGAACCGCUUGGUUAAUGCAGUGUUCUGGUUCAGAUAGUCCCAAAACUUCAACCCGCCGAAAGAUUCCCAUAAUGUGAGAUCGUUCCCUUUGAACCACCUACUUAAAUGCUGGAAUGAAGAGACAUAAUCUUGGUCAAGCAAUCCAGUGACAAGUGGUGACAAACAGUAGGGCUUAUCUUUGAUGAGCAGGGUCGAAGUAGGUGUGAGGCCAUAUGCUUCUUCUUGCUCGUUGUGGUUGUCAACUUUGGUUUUUGAAAACAAGCCCAUGUGAACUAACAGACGCAUGAAAUGAAAUAGACUUCGAGUUUUUGUAGGCUGAAUGUUGAGAGCUGAGGCUAACUCAGACAGAGUGAUUGGUCGUCCGUGGCUGUGAAUUGCGUCCGCUAUGCCUAGCUCAACCGCACAUUUGAGUGACAUAGAACUUAAAUUCUUAACGAUGCCCUUAUACAGAUGAGCUUGACCUUCAAACAACUCUCUUACAGUUACCCCGUCAUUUUCAAUGUCACCCAUAACUUCAAUUGUUUUCGUUUACACUUUACCUCCAAC
rnacentral:lncRNA from 1 species